GUGGGGAAUUUUGGACAAUGGGCGCAAGCCUGAUCCAGCAAUGCCGCGUGUGUGAAGAAGGCCUUCGGGUUGUAAAGCACUUUUGGCAGGAAAGAAAUAGUGCGUGCUAAUACCAUGCGCGAAUGACGGUACCUGCAGAAUAAGCACCGGCUAACUACGUGCCAGCAGCCGCGGUAAGACGUAGGGUGCAAGCGUUAAUCGGAAUUACUGGGCGUAAAGCGUGAGCAGGCGGUUUUGUAAGACUGGUGUGAAAUCCCCGGGCUCAACCUGGGAACUGCACGAGUGACUGCAAGGCUAGAGUGUGGCAGAGGGAGGUGGAAUUCCGCGUGUAGCAGUGAAAUGCGUAGAGAUGCGGAGGAACACCGAUGGCGAAGGCAGCCUCCUGAGAUAACACUGACGCUCAGGCACGAAGGCGUGGGGAGCAAACAGGAUUAGAAACCCCUGUAGUCC
rnacentral:rRNA from 1 species